rnacentral:rRNA from 1 species
UACGUAGGGACCAAGCGUUGUCCGGAAUCAUUGGGCGUAAAGAGCUCGUAGGCGGUUUGUCGCGUCUGCUGUGAAAACUCGGGGCUUAACUCCGGGCCUGCAGUGGGUACGGGCUGACUAGAGUGCGGUAGGGGAGACUGGAAUUCCUGGUGUAGCGGUGAAAUGCGCAGAUAUCAGGAGGAACACCGGUGGCGAAGGCGGGUCUCUGGGCCGUAACUGACGCUGAGGAGCGAAAGCGUGGGGAGCGAACAGG